rnacentral:rRNA from 1 species
UACGUAGGGGGCGAGCGUUAUCCGGAUUUACUGGGCGUAAAGCGCGUUAAGGCGGUUGGCAAAGUUGGUUGUGAAAUCUCAGGGCUCAACCCUGAAAUUGCGACCAAUACUGGUCGACUAGAGUGCAAGAGAGGAAGGUGGAAUUCCCGGUGUAGUAGUGAAAUGCGUAGAUAUCGGGAGGAACACCGGUGGCGAAGGCGGCGACCUGGGUAGAUACGUGACGCUGAGGUGCGAAAGCGUGGGGAGCAAACGGG